rnacentral:lncRNA from 1 species
AAAGCCGGGUGUGUAUUAAUAAACAUUUUCUCCAGUCAGGCGUUUGUCUUUUAACAUAUUUCCUUUCAGCGUCACCGAUCCCUAGGAAGAGGGUCUAAUAAACCAAGUGAAAGUCAGACCCGUGAUCACCUCUUCCUCUCAUUUCUAAGUUGAGUCAAUGUCAGGAGCUAAACAUCUUCCAGGAACGGAAGCAAACAUAGCAACCACCAGUGGAAUAUUAUUUUCUCUAUGAGGACAUUUUCUGAAACAAUGAUAAAAAUAGCAUUGAAAAAAUUUUAAAUGCCCUAUAUUUUGCUGUUUACUAAAAAUUUUGAACUAAUCCGACUACUUUCUUUUCACCCUUAUUUGUAUGAUAUGAAUAUCAUAUAUAGUACUGGCUUUAAAAGGAAUAGAAAGGGAAGUACAGACUCUCGGUGACAAGUUAGAGUUGGUAAUUACAGCUGACAGUGACGUCUGUCCCUCCUCUACGGACGCAUUGAAGAAUUCCAUGGGGUCGGUAGAGGAGUCAUGUAUGGCUGGGGCACUCCAUUCAAUAGAAAAUGAACACGCUUAUGGUGUGGUAACUAAGAAGUUAGCUGGGGCAAUACUGAAAUUCUUCUUAGAAAAUGGAAACCAUAAAAGGGGAGAAAAGCGAAAGAAAUUACAAAAGGGAAAAAGCAAAGCAACAUGGCUGGGAGUAUAGAAGUACACAGAAACGAAGAAAAGGAAAAAGAAAUAGCCAUGAGAAAACAGAAGUGAUUGAUAAGCGAGGCUUAGAAAACACAUCAUCUUUACAUUUAUUAUGGGGCAAUCAUCAAAAUGUAGUUCAGUGUUAAAUUGUUUAAUUUACGUAGGUGGGGAAUUAAAAAUAUGGAGCUUUAAAAAAUGCAUUUCAAAUGAAUUUAGCUCUCUUAAGGCAUAAAAAUACUGGUUUAAACGUGUCUCCCAUGGGCCAUAAAUG